ACACCGCUAGGGACCUUAACGUCACAGACCUGCAGCUGGUAUAAAAAGCUCUGUCUGAUCCAGCCUCCACAUUAGAGAGAAGCAGCGUCUGAGAGCAUCGUAAACCAUCUGGCCAGGUUACAAAGAAAAAACAAAUGUGCAAAAUGACGAAUGUUCAGCUAGGAGUGGUUUUGCUCGCCAUAUGUUUAUCAACACAGAUGGUCUCCUGGACUGCAAUGGCAGCCAGCAACAACAGCACAGCUAUGACAGCAGGGGGGAACUCCACCUACAACGCUACCACUACUACGGCCACAGACACCUUUGGCGGUCCAAGCAACUCCACCUCCCCUACUGGAGCAGGUGUCUCACUGCACACAGGCACCUUCACUUUCUUGAUCCCCUUCAUCAUGGCAGCCUUUCUCCUCCAAAGCUACUGUUGAAGCCCGGAGCCCACAGCCCCCAUCUUCUCUGCCUCAACACUCCUCCUCACCUCCCAUCCCAUUAUCCCACGCAGUCCAGCCUCUCUCAGAGACCACAAGACUAACAUGGAUGGGCUCUGCAACCUUUCUACGUCCUCCUUAAGUAAUGCUAAAAAGUAUGUAAGUCAAGACAUUUCUUUUAACAAAGGGGGGUUUAGCCUACAGCAGGAGAUCAUCACCAAUCCAACUUCCUUCAGCCCCUUGCAUGGAUUCAAAAGGAACAGUGGUGCAUCCAGCUUCCCUUUUUGGCUUGCAUUUCCUUAGUCAUGCCAUCACAUUUUGGAGAUGCUCAGGGCUGCGAGUUUUCAUGUCAUGUGUCUCGAUUGAAAUGCGGACCACUUGAGUGUACAGAGGUUCUUUUUGUGGCUUCUAAUCGACCUGGCAAUCAAUAUCAGAAUGUGUUUUGUUUGUUAAAGUUUGGCAGAUACAGUAGGAGGUUUGAGAAAAAAGUAUGAGCCAGAUGACCUCUUUAGUUGGUUUUACAAACAAAACAAAACAAAAAACAAAAAAAUGGCUCUUCAGUCUUUUUAUUAGAAAUGUCACUGAGAUGUAUGUAGCAAAAAAGUUGCCACACGAUGUGUCAGUUUUGCCUUGUGAUUUUUAAAGAGCUGUGGUCUUUUACAAUGAGGGUUUGAUUGACACCUUUGCUCCCUUCAUCCAACGGUUAGGUGCAGGAAAUGAGUGUAUGUAAAACCAUAUGGGAAGGGUUGAUGUUACAAUUCCCCCUUAUAGUUUAUAUUUUGUAUAAAUGGAAAUGUUGUACUGUUUAUUAGUUUGCGUAAAGAUCAUUGAAGAAACGACAAUGUACAAUAAAUUAUGAAAAACUACAA